rnacentral:tRNA from 1 species
AUUCAUACUUGAAUAGUUUUUGGAAGCUGCUAACUUUCAUGAUAGUUUAUAGCUACUAUUAGUU